UACGUAGGGGGCAAGCGUUGUCCGGAAUUAUUGGGCGUAAAGAGCUCGUAGGCGGUUCGGUAAGUCGGGUGUGAAACCCCCAGCUCAACCUGGGGACGCCACCCGAUACUGCCGUGACUAGAGUCCAGUAGGGGAGUGUGGAAUUCCCGGGUGUAGCGGUGAAAUGCGCAGAUAUCAGGAAGAACACCAAUGGCGAAGGCAGUUCUCUGGGACGGUACUGACGCUGAGACGCGAAAGCGUGGGGAGCGAACAGG
rnacentral:rRNA from 1 species